rnacentral:lncRNA from 1 species
GGUGAUGAAUGUGAAAUGCACGGACGUGGGCCUUCUGUCAAUCAGCUCCCUGCCAUGGAGACCUGACAGAGUCUCAUUCAUGGCUGCCACAACAGAGAGACUGAGAAAAAGAUGCAACCAUGAAAAGGUGAAAAGGUGGUAAGUUCUAAUGACAUAGAAAAUAGCAAUCAGCCUUUCUUAUGUCUGAAAGCCUUCCAAAAUAUCUGAGUGCAGUAGAGAUUUGACAGAGGACUGAUCACCAUCCUAGAAACAUGGUGAGAGGGAAAAAAAAAACUGCAAGAAUAUAAUCAUCUCCCAUCAAUUUCCCAAGAGGAAUAAUGUAGUACUUGAAGAAACAAUUAUAGAGUACCUCAUGCUACAUGCCUCUUCCUGAGGCUCCCCCAUGUAAAAUAACAUCACCUUCAUUCCUUCUUUACUUUUCUUUCCAUGACAGCUCCUUCAGGAAUAGGACGUCUUCCUCUCCUUAAUCCAAUAUAGCAGCCGUGAAGUCAUUUCUGUAUUUCAGGAAGACUGGCAGGAGAUUUAUGGAAAAGACUCUGACAAGGACUCUUGAAUACAAGUUCCUGAUAACUUCAAGAUCAUACCACUGGACUAAGAACUUUCAAAAUUUUAAUGAACAGGCUGAUACCUUCAUGAAAUUCUAGACAAAGAAGAAAAAAACUCCAUGUUAUUGGACUAAAUAAUCAAAAGCAUAAUGUUUUCAUAAUUUUCUAUUUGAAAAUGUGCUGAUUCUUUGAAUGUUUUAUUCUCCAGAUUUAUGAACUUUUUUUCUUGAGCAAUUGGUAAAGUAUACUUUUGUAAACAAAAAUUGAAACAUUUGCUUUUGCUCUCUAUCUGAGUGCCCCAGAAUUGGGAAACUAUUCAUGAGUAUUCAUAUGUUU